UAGGGAAUCUUCCACAAUGGGCGCAAGCCUGAUGGAGCAACACCGCGUGAGUGAAGAAGGGUUUCGGCUCGUAAAGCUCUGUUGUUAAAGAAGAACACGUAUGUGAGUAACUGUUCAUACGUUGACGGUAUUUAACCAGAAAGUCACGGCUAAAUACGUGCCAC
rnacentral:rRNA from 1 species